rnacentral:misc_RNA from 1 species
GAUGAAGAACGCAGCGAAAUGCGAUACGUAAUGUGAAUUGCAGAAUUCAGUGAAUCAUCGAGUCUUUGAACGCACAUUGCGCCCCCUGGUAUUCCGGGGGGCAUGCCUGUCCGAGCGUCAUUGCUGCCCUCAAGCCCGGCUUGUGUGUUGGGUCUCGUCCCCCUUCCCGGGGGGACGGGCCCGAAAGGCAGCGGCGGCACCGCGUCCGGUCCUCGAGCGUAUGGGGCUUUGUCACCCACUCUGUAGGCCCGGCCGGCGCUUGCCGAUCAACCAAAACUUUUUUCCAGGUUGACCUCGGAUCAGGUAGGGAUACCCGCUGAACUUAAGCAUAUCAAUAAGCGGAGGA